AUUGAACGCUGGCGGCAGGCUUAACACAUGCAAGUCGAGCGAGCGGCGGACGGGUGAGUAAUGUCUGGGAAACUGCCUGAUGGAGGGGGAUAACUACUGGAAACGGUAGCUAAUACCGCAUACCAUCAGAUGUGCCCAGAUGGGAUUAGCUAGUAGGUGGGGUAAUGGCUCACCUAGGCGACGAUCCCUAGCUGGUCUGAGAGGAUGACCAGCCAGACUGGAACUGAGACACGGUCCAGACUACUACGGGAGGCAGCCGUGGGGAAUAUUGCACAAUGGGGGCAAGCCUGAUGCAGCCAUGCCGCGUGUGUGAAGAAGGCCUUCGGGUUGUAAAGCACUUUCAGCGAGGAGGCGUUACUCGCAGAAGAAGCACCGGCUAACUCCGUGCCAGCAGCCGCGGUAAUUC
rnacentral:rRNA from 1 species